AUUGAACGCUGGCGGCAGGCCUAACACAUGCAAGUCGAGCGAGCGGCGGACGGGUGAGUAAUGUCUGGGAAACUGCCUGAUGGGGGGGGGUAACUACUGGAAACGGUAGCUAAUACCGCAUACCACCAGAUGUGACCAGAUGGGAUUAGCUGGUAGGGGUGGUAACGGCUCACCUAGGCGACGAUCCCUAGCUGGUCUGAGAGGCUGACCAGCCACACUGGAACUGAGACACGGUCCAGACUCCUACGGGAGGCAGCAGUGGGGAAUAUUGCACAAUGGGCGCAAGCCUGAUGGAGCAAUGCCGCGUGUAUGAUGAAGGCCUUCGGGUUGUAAAGUACUUUCAGCAGGGAGGCGUUACCCGCAGAAGAAGCACCGGCUAACUCCGUGCCAGCAGCCGCGGUAAUUC
rnacentral:rRNA from 1 species